UCAAAGGAGCAAUUCGCUUCAGGAGGGGGUCGCGGCCGAUUAGUUAGUUGGCGGGGUAAUGGCCCACCAAGACAGUGAUCGGUAUCCGGCCUGAGAGGGCGCACGGACACACUGGAACUGAAACACGGUCCAGACUCCUACGGGAGGCAGCAGUGGGGAAUUUUGCGCAAUGGGGGAAACCCUGACGCAGCAACGCCGCGUGGAGGAUGAAAUCCCUUGGGAUGUAAACUCCUUUCGAUCGGGACGAUUAUGACGGUACCGGAAGAAGAAGCCCCGGCUAACUUCGUGCCAGCAGCCGCGGUAAUACGAGGGGGGCAAGCGUUGUUCGGAAUUAUUGGGCGUAAAGGGAGCGUAGGCGGUUUUGUAAGUCGUGUGUGAAAUCUUCGGGCUCAACUUGAAGUCUGCACACGAAACUGCAGGGCUUGAGUAUGGGAGAGGUGAGUGGAAUUCCUGGUGUAGCGGUGAAAUGCGUAGAUAUCAGGAGGAACACCUGUGGCGAAAGGCGGCUCACUGGACCAU
rnacentral:rRNA from 1 species